UGCUCUCCACGAGGGGGGAAGUGGCUCCCAACUAUCAAUGCGACAGUCGGGACAAGCUGUUCUCCAUCAUCGGGGGUCUCAGCUCCAAAUCAUCAAUGCAGAUGGCAUACCUCUUUGGCAUCUUGAAGAUUCCACAGGUAAGAGAAUUUGUCUGGGGACCCGGGUAGCGCUGUGGUCUAAACCUCUGAGCCUAGGGCUUGCUGAUCAGAAGGUUGGCAGUUCAAAUCCCCGCGACGGGGUGAGCUCCCGUUGUUCGGUCCCUGCUCUUGCCAGCCUACCAGUUUGAAAGCACAGCAAAGUGCGGUUAAUGGGCUAAAUUGACGGGAAUAAGGACUGACAAAACCCGGAACCAGGAGGAAGGGACGCUGGAUGAAGAUUGGAUCUGUUUAUACCUCUUUUUUCUACCAUUAGAACUGUUUUAUAAAAUUGAUGAAUGAUAGAAAAAUGUUGGAAUGAAAUUACUUGGCUUUAGUAAAGAUGUUUAAAGAAUUAUGAAAGAAUAUUAUGAUUAUGAGAAGUUGGUAAGGAUAAGAUUUAAGUUUUAAGUUUUAAGGUUUAUUCUAUUAUAGGAAGAUAAGGUCAAGGAUUUGCUGGGAUAAUUAAUAACUAGGAUACAAAGAAAGGGAGGAGGAGGAGGUCUAAGAAAGAAGGUAAUGACAGUUAAGGAUUUGAAAAUAAUGAAUUUGCUUUUAAAUGUUUUUAAAGUUUUGUGAUUUUUGCAUUCUUCUUUUUUUCUUUUUUUCUGUCAUUUUUUCUCAUUUGGAAUUUUUUCUUAUAUGGUGGGAAGGGGUUGGGGUUUUUUUUCUAUUUUGUCAAUUAUUUUUAUUCUUUGUACUCUCUUCUGCUUCUAUUUAAUUUUUUUUCUUCUUUGUAACAUUCUGAAAAUCUCAAUAAAUAUCUUUAACAAAAACAAAAAACGAAAGCACAGCAAAGUGCAAGUAGAUAAAUAGGUACCACUCCGGCGGGAAGGUAAAUAUAUAUAGAAUAUAGAUAUAUAUGAAUAUCUAUAUUCAUAUAGUAUACAGUAUGCUGUCUAUUACUAUGCUCUGUAUUAUGUUCUUAACAUAAUGCUCCAUAAAAUAUAUUAUUAAUGUGGUACACUGCCCUGUAAUCUUUUGAUAAACAGCAGUAUAUAAAUCAAAUAAUUAACAAUAAUAACAGAAAUCAAAAGAAGUGGAUUACCAAUGUAGGAGCAAAUGGUUCAUGAAACUGGCAAAAUUAGCUGCCAAACUAUGAGGGCAUAAUGACGAAGUGUUUAAGGAAGAAGGGAGACCACUGACUGACAAUCUAUCAAAUUAUCACCCAUAUACGUAGUCACGGGCAGGAUUUGAAAUAUAAGCAGUGGAUUACUGAAAGGUUUAAUGGUGGUGGGGUUUAGAUAAUAAAAAUGUAUGCAUUAUAAAACAGCUAAUAAAAAGGAGUAAAAAAAGCAAACAUCAGGAAGGGAUGGGAAGUCAAGAAGAGACUUUGGAUGUUAAAAAAGAUAGUAUAUGAUGAUAAAUUCUUUGAAACAUUUCUGGAGACUUAAUAAAAAUGUUAUUUGGGGGGACCCCAAUAAUAAAAUUACUCCGGUUUUGAGAGAACUGUGCUGGUUGCCUGUUCACAUCUAAGUCCAAUUCAGUUUGGAGCCUGACCUGGGAAACAAAUGCAUGAAGGUACUUCAAGUAAUUUUCUCUCUCUCCUGCACAGCCCUGGAAUCCGUGGGAGGAAAAGUGUAUUAGAAAUAUUUCAAAAAUUCUAAAUAAAUAAAUAAAUUUUGAAUAAAGGCUUUCUCUUUCCUUCAGCUUGGUUAUGGUUCAUUCAGCCCUGUUGAGAGAGAGAUGCUUCCUUCCUUCUUCCGAAUCGAUCCCAACGAAGUGCCGCAGUACGUCGGG